UUGGAAUAGUUGAAUCUCAAGGGAGAUAAUCUUCAAAUUAAUCCAAAAAUACCACGUUUCAAACUGAAUUGGGAACGAUUUUUACUCUCUUUUUAAUACUCCAGUAGGAGUCACCGAGACGAGACAACUCUUUAUAUUGCUCUAUUCAAAAUAAUAGAGUCAAAGAGAUUACCAUUCCAUAGAAUUUCAUGCUGCUUUUCGAAGUAACCAUAAUUUGCAGUAAGAACUCCAUCUCCAUCAAAUGAAGAAUCAUCAACGACUGAAACCGGUAAGACCCGUCGCGACUAUCCACGGUAGAUCUGUCAAUUACCUUUUCGAAAUGGUUCAAUUGAAACGAAGUUUUUGUUUUACCAAAUCCAUUGGAAGAAACAUACAAAAGAACAAUAAAAAACUUUAUCAGAUUUAAAAUAAAUUGACAACAAACAAACCAAGUGAUAGAAAAUAAAGCAAAUCAAAGAAAAAAAAAGCAAAGCGAAUCAAACAAGCCGAUGUCGGAGCUAUAGAAGCCUCCGGCCAUCGGCUUGAAACUAAAAAAAAAAAUCUCUCUUUUUCUUUUGACUUUCUCUCUUUUUCUUUUGACGGCCGGUGAUAAAAACUUAAAAAUAGACUAUUUAAAAGAAUUGCCCUCAAUUGUACCAUUUAAAUAUAAAGAUAUCAAACUAUCUAUAUCCUUCGAACUUAUCUGACUUGCGUGUGAAACUUUACAUCAAGAUAUUAAUAAAGGAAUUUCAUAUAGAUAGUUGGACAAUUCUCCAUAAUAGUACUUUUGAAGUUUUUGUCUCCAAAAUAACACCAGAAGGAGAAAGUCACAUAAAUGACAUUCAUUAAUAGACAAAAUGUUUCUAAUACCAUUCUUUUAAAAUUAAUUAAACAAACAAAAAAAAAUAAAAUAAAUCAGAACAACCUCUCUCUCCCGCCAAGCACAGUGAUUCUUCUUCUCGACGCGACGCGACGGCGGCGACCUCGCCGUUGACAUCGUCUGAUUCAUUCACUCCCCGACGACCUCGCCGUUGACAUCGUCGCUCGCGUGCCCAGAAGCCACUACCCGACACUCUCCCUCGUCUCCAAGAGUUUCAGGAAUCUCACCGCCUCGUCUAAGCUCUACAAGAGGCGAUCUCAGCUAGGCAUCACCCAACACCGUGUCUACGCCGUCCUACGCAACCGCAGCACCGGUGAUUUCAGUUUCUACAUCACCCAACAAUGUGUCUCUGUUGCUUGGUGGAAUCAAUUCUCUGUUGGGAGUAGAGUGCUCUUCCAGCAUCCCAUUGAUUAACAAAAUUCCCACCUUAAUCAUGGGUAUGGAUGUAUCUCAUGGGUCUCCAGGUCAUGCAAAUGUUCCUUCAGUAGCAGCGCUUGUGCUGUAAGGUUGUUGGUUCAAAAAACUGGCAGCUGUGAGAAGUCAGUCACCAAAACUGGAAAUGAUUGAUUCGCUCUUCCAACCAGUUGACGACCCUGUGAACGGAGACAACCGGUAUCAUGAACGAAUUGUUUGUGGAAUUUUUCAAGACAAGCAAUGCACGAAAGCCUAAGCAGAUUAUCAUAUUCAGGGAUGGAGUAAGUGAAUCACAGUUCAACCAAGUCUUAAACAUUGUGGUGGAUCAGAUUAUAAAGGUCGUGUUUCAAAGUUCCUUGGCCAGAUCUGGCUUCUAUCAAAUUAUGUUUCUAGUGAAAGUAUUAUAUUGAACAGUUUGCUUAUUUAACGCAAUGCUGGCGUAUCAACGUCUUGGUGAGACCGAUGUGCCAAAGUUCACUGUCAUUGUGGCUCAGAAAAGACACCACACCAAGUUGUUUCAAGCUAAGGGUCAUGAAAAUGUUCAUGCAGGAACCGUUGUGGACACCAAGAUUGUACAAAAUAGAGAACACAUAUUAAACAAAGAACAUUAAAAUAGGAUAGCUUGCAACAUUUUCAAUAAUUCUAUCGAGAAAGUGUUAAAUGUGGUAUAAUUAUAAAACACAUAUGUUAUAUAGGAUAUCUUUUGGCACUUUCAGGAUGAGUUUCUAGAAAAAUAAAAUGAGUGUGUUUUCUUGCAUAAGUCUGUUUUUGAUUUUCGAAGAGAAUCAAAAACGUGUAAGGAAUGUUAGACAAUCCUUGUUCAGGAUGGCUAUCCUAAUUUAGAAUUUAAUUUUCAAAAAAAAAAAAAACAUAAUCAAAAUCUAUAAGAAAAUUCAUUGGCUAUAGAAAUCACCAAAAUAGAGUUAGUUGUCUACAAAAUAGAGAACACAUAUCCAACAGAGAACAUUAAAAUAAGAUAGCUUGAAGCAUUUUCAAUAAUUCUAUCAAGAAAGUGUUAAAUGUGGUAUAAUUAUAAAACACACAUAUAUAUAUAGGAUAUCUUUUGGCACUUUCGGAAUGAGUUUCUAGAAAAAUAAAAUGAGUGUGUUUUCUUGCAUAAGUCUGUUUUCGAAGAGAAUCAAAAGCGUGUAUGGAAUGUUAGACAAUCCUUGUUCAGGAUGGUUAUCCUAAUUUGGAAUUUAAUUUUCAAAAAAAAAAGAAAAACAUAAUCAAAAUAUAUAAGAAUAUUCAUUGGCUAUAGAAAUCACCAAAAUAGAGUUAGAUGUGUACAAAAUAGAGAACACAUAUCAAACAGAAAACAUUAAAAUAGGAUAGCUUGAAGCAUUUUCAAUAAUUCUAUCAAGAAAGUGUUAAAUGUGGUAUAAUUAUAAAACACAUAUGUUAUAUAGGAUAUCUUUUGGCACUUUCGGAAUGGGUUUCUAAAAAAAUAAAAUGAGUGUGUUUUCUUGCAUAAGUCUGUUUUCGAAGAGAAUCAAAAGCGUGUAAGGAAUGUUAGACAAUCCUUGUUCAGGAUGGCUAUCCUAAUUUGAAAUUUAAUUUUCAAAAAACAAAGAAAAACAUAAUCAAAAUCUAUAAGAAAAUUCAUUGGCUAUAUAAAUCACCAAAAUAGAGUUAGUUGUCUACAAAAUAGAGAACACAUAUCAAACAGAGAACAUUAAAAUAUGAUAGCUUGAAGCAUUUUCAAUAAUUCUAUCAAGAAAGUGUUAAAUGUGGUAUAAUUAUAAAACACAUAUGUUAUAUAGGAUAUCUUUUGGCACUUUCGGAAUGGGUUUCUUGAAAAAUAAAAUGAGUGUGUUUUCUUGCAUAAGUCUGUUUUCGAAGAGAAUCAAAAGCGUGUAAGGAAUGUUAGACAAUCCUUGUUCAGUAUGGCUAUCCUAAUUUGAAACUUAAUCUUCCUAAAAAAAAACAUAAUAAAAAUCUAUAAGAAAAUUCAUUGGCUAUAGAAAUCACCAAAAUAUAGUUAGUUGUCUACAAAAUAGAGAACACAUAUCAAACAGAGAACAUUAAAAUAGGAUAGCUUGAAACAUUUUCAAUAAUUCUAUCAAGAAAGUGUUAAAUGUGGUAUAAUUAUAAAACACAUAUGUUAUAUAGGAUAUCUUUUGGCACUUUCAGGAUGGGUUUCAAGAAA